rnacentral:rRNA from 1 species
UGGAGUUCAGACGUGUGCUCUUCCGAUCUUGAUACUAAAAAAGGGCGUAUAAAAAUGCGAAAAUUUAUAAUGUAGUUAAAAAUAUUUAUAUUUAUAAGUACCCUUUGUUGGAAACAUCUGGUUAUGUUAGGUAGUUACUAUAAAGGUUUUAUUUUAGUAAUUAUAUUAUUUAGUGAAUUGAAACAUCUAAAUAACUAAAUUAAAAAAAUCAACCGAGGUUUCGUUAGUAGUGGCGAGCGAACGCGGAAUUAGACUUUUAUUUAAUCUGUUAAGAUUAUGAAUACGUUAGCUAAAAAAGGUGGUAAGCCCUGUAAUAGUUUCGAAGAUUAUCUAAUUCAAGUAAAACAAAUUAUGCAAAUUUGUUUGAAAAUAGGGGGACCAUCCUCUAAGUCUAAAAAUUUUUAGUAAUCGAUAGUGUACCAGUACCGUGAGGGAAAGGUGAAAUUAGAAUCUUUUUUGGAUUGAAACAGAACUUGAAAUUUAACACUAAUUAUCUAUUGAAGUUACAUUAAGUAAUAACAAUGUACCUUUUGCAUAAUGGACCAACGAGUUUAUUUAAAUAGCAAGCUUAAAUUAAUAGAAUAAGGCGUAAUUAAAAGUGAGUAUGAAUUAAUAUUUUAGUUAUUUGAAUAAGACCCGAAUCUGAGUGAUCUAGUUAAGAACAGGUUGAUCUGUAUGUUAAAAAGUAUAGUAAGGACCGAACCCACGUCUGUUGAAAAAGGCGGGGAUGAUUUUUAAUUAGGGGUGAAAGGCCAAUCAAACUCAGUGAUAGCUGGUUUUCCGCGAAAUAUAUUUAAGUAUAGCGUUAAAAAAUAGGUUUGUAGGUAGAGCUCUGAUUAUAUUAGGGGGGUUUUAACCUUACCGAGUUUAGUCAAACUUCAAAUGGCAGAUUUUAUAUUUUAGCAGAUAAUCUUUGGAUGCUAAGGUCCAUAGAUGAGAGGGGAACAGCCCAGAUUAUUUAUUAAGGUCUUUAAAUUUCCCGUAAGUGCAAAAGACUUAAAAGGUUAGAGAUAUUCAAAAGGUAGGCUUAGAAGCAGCCAUCCUCUAAGGAAUGCGUUAUAGCUCAUUGAAUGAAAUUUUUUGGGUCAAUGAUUUAUAGAGACUAACGGGUAUACCGAAAUAGUAAAUUUUUAUAUAAAAGUGGUAGCGGAACGUUUUGUAUGUUGUGGAAGAUGAGCUGUAAAGUUUAUUGGAGAUAUCAAAAGUGAAUAUGUUGGUAUGAGUAAUGAUAAAUAAUGUUAAAAAACAUUAUCGCCGUAAGUCCAAGGUUUUUUGUUUAAAGUUAAACUAAACAAUUGUAAGUCGAUUUCUAAAAGAUAGGCGAAAGCCGUACUUGAUGGAUUUUUUAAUAAAAGACUAUUUAUAUAUGACAAAUAAGAAAUUUCAUUUUUAAAUAAUUAACAAGUUUAUUAGUGAAAUAAUUAUUUCAGGAAAUAAUUAUAAAUAAAAUAAUCGUACUAAAACCGACACAGGUGGACUGGUGUAAAUGCACUAAGGCGCUUGAAUUAAUUGUAUUGAAGGAACUCGGCAAAUUGACUCUGUAACUUUGGAAUAAAGAGGGUUUUAAUCAAAGAAAUUUUUUUAAAAUGACAUAAAAUAGGGGGUAGCGACUGUUUAUUAAAAACACAGGUCUCUGCAAAAUCGUAAGAUGAAGUAUAGGGGCUGACACCUGCCCGGUGCGAGUAGGUUAAAAGGAUAAGUGCAAGCUUAAAAUGGAAGCUCUUGUAAACGGCGGCUGUAAUUCUUGACGGUCCUAAGGUAGCGAAAUUCCUUGUCGGGUAAUUUCCGACCUGCAUGAAUGGUGUAACGACUUCCCCACUGUCUCCAAUACAAGUUCAAUGAAAUUGAAAUUUCCGUGCAGAUGCGGAAUAUUUAUCGUAAGACGAAAAGACCCCGUGCACCUUUACUAUAUCUUUAUAUUGCUUUUGACAAAAAAAUGUGCAGGAUAAGUGGGAGUUAAUUUUAACAAUCUUGAGAUACCACUCUUUUUUUUACUCAAAGCUAAUUAAAUUUUUAAAACAGUGUAAAGUUGGUAGUUUCGCUGGGGCGGCGGUCUCCUAAAAGGUAACGGAGGUGUACAAAGGUAAAUUCAGUACAGUGGUAUAUUGUACAUAGAGCGUAAUGGUAUAAGUUUGCUUGACUGUGAAAUAGACAUAUUAAGCAGGAACGAAAGUUGGUCAUAGUGAUCCGGUAGUGGUGUAUGGAAAAGCUAUCGCUCAACGGAUAAAAGGUACGCCGGGGAUAACAGGCUAAUAAUUCUUGAGAGUUCGCAUUGACAGAAUUGUUUGGCACCUCGAUGUCGGAUCAUCUCAUCCUGAAGCUGUAGCAGGUUUCAAGGGUUCGGCUGUUCGCCGAUUAAAGAGGUACGUGAUCUGGGUUUAGAACGUCGUGAGACAGUUUGGUUUCUAUCUACGAUAAACGUUUAAAAUUGAAAGGAUCUUUCUUUAGUACGAAAGGAUUGAGAUAGGCUAACCUAUGGUGUACCAGUUGUUAUGUUAGUAGCAUUGCUGGGUAGCUACGUUAGUAUAGUAUAAUUGCUGAAAGCAUAAAUGCAAGAAUGCUUCCUUAAGAUAAGUUUUAGUUUUUUAGAUCGGAAGAGCACACGUCUGAACUCCAGUCACACGUAUGAUCUCGU